GCGCACUCCGGGCGAGCAGCGGGGGAUAUACGGGGGGGAGUAGGUUUGGUCGGAGUUACUGGGCGUAAAGCGCACGUAGGCGGAUUUGUAAGGCAGGGGUGAAAUCCCGGGGCUCAACCCCGGAACUGCCUUUGAUACUGCGAAUCUCGAGUCCGGAAGAGGUGAGUGGAAUUCCUAGUGUAGAGGUGAAAUUCGUAGAUAUUAGGAAGAACACCAGUGGCGAAGGCGGCUCACUGGUCCGGUACUGACGCUGAGGUGCGAAAGCGUGGGGAGCAAACAGGAUUAGAUACCCCAGUAGUC
rnacentral:rRNA from 1 species